GCUACGGGAGGCAGCAGUGAGGAAUAUUGGUCAAUGGGCGGAAGCCUGAACCAGCCAAGUCGCGUGAGGGAAUAAGGCCCUACGGGUCGUAAACCUCUUUUGCCGGGGAGCAAGGGCCGGGACGCGUCCCGGCCCGGAGAGUACCCGGAGAAAAAGCAUCGGCUAAGUCCGUGCCAGCAGCCGCGGUAAUACGGAGGAUGAGAGCGGUAUCCGGAUUGAUGGGGUUUAAAGGGUGCGUAGGCGGGCUUUUAAGUCAGCGGUAAAAAUUCGGGGCUCAAACCCGUUCCGCCGUGGAAAAUGGGGGCCUUGAGUGGGCGAGAAGAAGGCGGAAUGCGUGGUGUAGCGGUGAAAUGCAUAGAUAUCACGCAGAACCCCGAUUGCGAAGGCAGCCUUCCGGCGCCCUACUGACGCUGAGGCACGAAAGUGCGGGGAUCGAACAGGAUUAGAUACCCUUGUAGUC
rnacentral:rRNA from 1 species